CCCAAGUAGCUGAGAUUACAAGCGUCUGUCACCACACCAGGCUAAUUUUUUGUAUUUUUAGUAGAUACAGGGUUUCAGCAUGUUGGCCAGGCUGGUCUCAAACUUCUGACCUCAGGAUUACAAGUGUGAGCCACCAUGCCUGGCCAAGAUGGAGUCUUAUAAUGUAACAUAAUCAUGGGAAUAAUGUCUACCACCUUUCCCAUAUUCUACUGAUUAGAAGCAAGUCACAGGUCCCACAUGCACUUCAAGGGGAGGGAAUUACACAAAGGCAUGGGCACCAGGAGGCAGAGGUAAUUAGGAGCCACCUUAACGUCUCUCCACCAUAGCCAUGGAAUAGUUGUACUCUGACAUCUUUUUUUUUCCACUUCUUAAGCUCUUAAGGCUAAUUAUUUGUGUGUCCCAAAUAUCUCUGGGGAGUCAGUGCUUGUUUGACUUGUUUACAGCUAUAUUUCCAGACUUUAGUGCAGAGCCAGGCCCACUGCAGACGCUCCAGAAAUGCAUACAUUUAUGCAGCAAAUAUUUAUUGAAUGACAACCAUGUUCUAGGCACUGUUCUGGGCACUGGGGAUUUAACAGCAAACAAAAUGAACAAAAAUGUGUGCCAUCACACAGCCCAUAUUCUAGUCAUUUUGUUGAUUGGUUGGUUGACAAUCAAAUUUUCUAUUGCUGCCAUAUGCCAAGCAGUGUUCUAGGUGCUGGGGAUAUAACACAGUGGUGAGCAGUCCAACAUGCUCCUGACUCCAGGGUCUUGCAUUUCAAUGGUGAUACAACAUCUCAUCAGAUCUGCCCAACAGUUAGGAAUCUUUGUUUACAAGCUACAGAAAUGGGUGUGGGUUACUUUGGGCAAAGAGUAACUUAUUAAUAUUAGAAAACUACUAGGGUGGCUGGGCAUGGUGGCUCAUGCCUGUAAUCCUGGCACUUUGGGAGGGCAAGGCAUUUGCAUCACCUGAGGUCAGGAGUUCAAGACCAGCCUGGCUGACAUGGUGAAACCUCAUCUUUACAAAAAUACAAAAAUCAGCUCAAUGGCAGGUGCAUGUAAUCCCAGCUACAUAGGAGUAUUGGGGGAACCCACCCCCAAUAUUUCAAUGUAGGUUCUUUCUAUUUUCCCUAGGUGUCAGCUGGUCUGAGAAAUAAAGAGAAAGAGUACAAAGAGAGGAAUUUUACAGCUGGGCUGCUGGGGGUGACAUCACGUAUUGGUAGAUCCGUGAUGCCCACCUGAGCCACAAAACCAGCAAGUUUUUAUUAGGGAUUUCAAAAGGGGAGGGGCUGUACAAACAGGGAGUAGGUCACAAAGUCACAUGCUUCAAAGGGCAAAAGGCAGAGCAAAGAUCACAUGCUUCUGAGGAAAUAGGGCAAGGACAAAAUCAAAGAUCACAAGGCAAAGGGCAAAAUUAGAAUUACUGAUGAGGGUCUAUGUUCAGCUGUGCACGUAUUGUCUUGAUAAACAUCUUAAACAACAGAAAACAGGGUUCGAGAGCAGAGAACUGGUCCGACCUCAAAUUUACCACAGUGGGAUUUUUUCCCCCACCCUAAUAAGCCUGAGGGUACUGCAGGAGACCAGGUUGUAUUUCAGUCCUUAUCUCAAUCACACAGGACAGAUACUCCCAGAGCGGCCAUUCAUAGACCUCCCCCAAGGAAUGCAAUUCUUUUCCUAGGGUCUUAAUAUUAAAUAUUCCUUGCUAGGAGAAGAAUUUAGCGAUAUCUCUCCUACUUGCACAUCUGUUUAUAGGCUCUCUGCAAGAAGAAAAAUAUGGCUCUAUUCUGCCUGACCCCGUAGGCAGCCAGACUUUAUGGUUGUCUUCCCUUGUUCCCUGAAAAUCGCUGUUGUUCUGUUCUUUUUCAAGGUGCCCUGAUUUCAUAUUGUUGAAACACACAUUUUACAAUCAAUUUAUACAAUAGUGGUCCUGAGGUGACAUACAUUCUCAGCUUAUGAAGAUAACAGGAUUAAGAGAUUAAAGUAAAGACAGGCAUAAGAAAUUAUAAGAGCAUUAUUUGGGAACUGAUAAAUGUCCAUGAAAUCUUCACAAUUUAUGUUCCUCUGCCGCAGCUCCAGCCGGUCCCUCCAUUCGGGGUUCCUGACUUCCUGCAACACAGGAGGCUGAGGCAGGAGAAUCGCUUGAACCUGGGAGGCAGAGGGUGCCGUCAGCCAAGAUGGCGCCACUGUACUCCAGCCUGGGCAAGAGAGCUGGACUCCUUCUCAAAAAUAAAGAAGACUAUUAGGGUAUAGUGGCAGAGGGGAGAGAAUUCAGGAGACACUGUUGGUUGUCUAAUGCCUAAACUAUCUCUCUCAUUGCCUUUUUCCUUGAUAGUAAAGCCCUGAUUAUAUGCAUGUGUUCAUAGAAUUAAUCAAUCUUUAUACUGCUAAACCUUUGAGCUUCCAGUCCUGUGAGAUAAUACAAUCUCCAUAUUAUUUUCAGAAAGCUGUUAUUUGCAACCACACACAGCCUAACUGAUGAGAAGUGUUGGCAUGAGGUUUAGAAAUAGGCAGAGACCAUGAAAGUUUGGGAUGACUGAGGUGCAGAAUGCAGAAAGCACAGCAUUCUUAUGACCCAAAUUAGUUACUCUUCCACCCAGAACACCCGAAAUGGGAAAGCAAGGUUUUUGUAAUUAAAAAUACAGUUGUAAUUAAGAGAGAAAAUUGCUUCUGGGAGACAAAAUUGAACAGCUAUGGAUUAUACUCUGUAAAGUAAAGUUGUGAUGGACCAGCACUUGCUAAGAGUGACACCUGGCCUCUUUGGAGACUGUGUAGUGUGGUGGGAAGAAGCCUGGAUCAAGAGGCUUAAUUUUUUUUUAAUUACAGAUAGUAAAAUAGAUCACCUUUAUGGGGGUGUACAAUGGUAAGAGUUUUAACACAUAGACGUGACUACAGUCAAGAUGCAGAACAGUUAUAUCACCCCAGAAAAUCCCUCAUGCAUACCUUCAUAGUGAAACCCUCACCCUGUCCUGAUCCUUAGCAACCACUGAUCUGUUCUCUGUCCUUACAGUUUUGCUUUUCAUAUGUAUGGAAUCAUAGGGUGUGCAGCAACCUUUGUCUCUGGCUUUUUUCACUCAGCCUUUGAGAUUCAUGUUGCUGUGUGCAUCAGUAGUUUGUUCCUUUUUAUUGCUGAGUAGUUUUCCAUUGUAUAGGUGUACCACGUUUUUUAAUCCAUUGAAGAAUAUUUAGGUUGUUUCCAAUUUUGAGUGGUUAUGGAGAAAACUCCUAUAAACAUUCAUAUGCAGGGUUUUGUCUGAAGACAAGUUUCUAUUUCUGUAAAUACCUAGGAGUGAGAUAACUGGAUAAUAUAUUAAGUGUAUGCUUAACUUUGUAAGAAGCUACCACAAUUAUUUUCCAGAGUGAUGUGCUAUUUUGCCUUCCAACCAGCAAUGAGUAAGAGAGUUCAUUACUACAUCCUCAGCAGCACUUGCUAUCGUCAGCUUGUUUUUUCCUUUUUUUUUAAAGUUAUUCUAAUAGGCGUACGGUAGUGUCACAUUGUGGCCCUAAUUUGCAUUUCCCUAAUGACUAAUGAUGUUGAUCAUCUUUUCAUCUAAUUAUUUGCCAUCCACAUAUUUUCUUUGUGAAGUGUGUUCAAAUAUUUGCCCACUUUUUAAUUGAGUUGUUUUCCUUAUUGUUGAGUUUUGAGUUAUUUAAAUAUUCUGGGUACAAGUAGUUAUGUAAUUUGUAAAUGACUUCUCCUUUUCUGUAGUUUGUUUUUUCAUUCUCUUACCUGUCUUUUGCAGAGGAAAAUCUUUUUAGUGAAGUCCAGUUAAUUACCUUUUUUCUUUUAUUGUGUUUUUUUUGGUACAAAAAAUGUCUAAGAUCUCUUUACCUCACCUAAGGUCACAAAGUUUUUCACCGUAUGUAGUCUUUUAAAAAUUUUAUAGUUUUAUAUUUAAGAUCUGUGGUCUAUUUUGAGUUAAUUUUUGUAUAAGGUGUGAGAUAUAUAUCAGUGUAUUUUCUCCUUCCUCCUUCCCUCCAUUCCUUCUUUUCUUUCUUUUUUCUUUCCUUCCUUCCUUUUUUUUUUUUUUAAAGAAAGUUAAGUCUCUUUUUCCUCCUUUCUUGGGCAGAGGUGUGUUCAAUUGUUCCCACACCAUUUGUUGAAGAGGCUAUUCUUUCUCCAUUGAAUGGCCUUUGCACCUUUGUCAAAAAUUAAUACACUCUAUUUAUAUGGGUUUAUCACUGGACUCUCCAUUCUGUUUCAUUGAUCUAUGCGUCUAUCUUUGUCUAAUACUGUGCCAUCUUGAUUACUAUAGCUUCAUAGUAAGUCUUAAAAUCAGAUAGUAUGCAAUGGAACAGAAUAGAGAAUCCAGAAAUAAAGCCACGCACAGCCAUCUAAUCUUUUACAAAGUUGGCAAAAAUGAGCAAUGGGGAAAGAACUCUCUAUUCAAUAAAUGGUGCUAGGAUAGCUGGCUAGCUAUAUGCUGAAGAAUGAAAUUGGACCCCUACCUUUCACCAUAUACAGAAAUUAACUCAAGAUGCAUUAAAGACUUAAAUGAAGACCUCAAACUAUAAGAAUUCUAGAAGAAAACCUAGGAAACACCAUUCUAAAAAUCAGACUUGGGAAAUAAUUUAUGACUAAGUUCUCAAUAGGAAUUGCAACAAAAACAAAAAUUGACAAGUGGGACCUAAUUAAACUAAAUAGCUUCUGCACAGCAAAAUAAAUCAUCAACAGAGUAAGCAGACAACCUAAAGAAUGGGAGAAAAUAUUUGCAAACUAUGUAUCUGACAAAGAUCAAAUAUUCAGAAUCUAUAAGGAACUUAAACAACUGAACAAUCAGAAAACAAAUAACUCUAAUAAAAAUGGGCAAAGAGCAUGAACAGACACUUCUCAAAAGAAGACACACAAGUGGCCAACAAACAUAUGGAAAAAUUCUCCACUUCACUAAUCAUCAGAAACAUGCAAAUCAAAACCCACAAUGAGAUAUCAUCUCAUACCAGUGAGAAUGGCCAUCAUUAAAAUAAUUUUUAGAAAAUAGAUGUUGGUGAAGCUGCAGAGAAAAGGGAAUGCUUAUGGACUGUUGGUGGGAAUGUAGUUAGUUCAGGCAUUGUGAAAAGCUGUUUAGAGAUUUCUCAAAGAACUUAAAACAAAACUACCAUUCAACCUAGCAACCCCAUUACUGGGUAUCUACCCAAAAUAAAACAAAUCAUUCUACCAAAAAAGCACAUGCCCUUGCAUGUUCAUCACAGCACUAUUCACAACAGUAAAGGCAUGGAAUCAACUUAGCUGCCCAUCAACAGUGUAUUGGAUACAGAAAAUAUGGUACAUACACACCAUGGAAUACUAUGCAGCCAUAAAAAGGAAAGAAACUAUGUUCUUUUACAGCAACAUGGCUGAAGCUGUACACCAUUAUCCUAAGGAACAGAAAACCAAAUACUGCAUGUUCUCACUUAUAAGUGAGAGCUAAACAUUGGUACUCAUGGACACAAAGAUGGCAACAAUAGACACUGAGGACUACUAGAAGGGGAAGGGAGGGAAGAAGGGGGACAAGGAUUGAAAAACUAAUUUUUGGGUACUAUGUUCAGUACCUGGGUGAUGGGAUCAUUUGUACUCCAAACCUCAGCAUCAUGCAAUAUACCCAGGUAACAGAUCUGCACGUAUACUCCCUGAAUCUAAAAUAAAAGUUGAAAAAAAAAGCAGACAGUAUGAGAUUCUCCAACUUUGUUCUUUUAAAAAAGGUUUUUGGCUAUUUUGACUUUCUUUGUAAAUGUUACAAUUAAUUUGUCUAUAUCUAUAAAAAUUCAUGCUGGGAUUUUGAUUGAAAUUGCAUUAAAUAUCUGGAUCAUUUUGGGAGAGAACUGGUAUCUUAACCAUGUUGAAUUUUCCAAUACAUGAGCACAACAUGUCUCUUCCAUUAUUAGAUCUUAUUUAAUUUCUUUCAUCAUUGUUUUGUAGUUUUCAGCAUACAGAUCUUGCAUACAUCUUUGUUAGAUUUAUAUCUAUGUAGCUAGUUUUUCUGAAACUAUUGUACAUGUUAUUUUUUAAUAUUCCAGUUUUCAACUGCUCAUAUCUGGCAUGUAAACAACUCUUGACCUUGCUAAACUCAAUAGUUCUCAUUUUUGUUUUUGCGUUUUUUGAAGAUAGAAUUCUUUGGGAUUUUCUAUGUAUACAGUUCUGUUAUCUAUGAAUAAAGAGGAUUUUCUUUCUUUCUUUCCCAGUUCUGUGUCUUUUUUGGUUUUGGCCUUAUUACCUACGACAGGAUUUUCACGACAAAUUGGAGAAUUGGAGUUGUAUCCAUUUCAGCUGACACCCGGACACUUCUCCACAUUUGCGGAGUGAGUCCUAUUUGGGAGGUAUUCACAGUCAUCAUCUUUGAUCACUAAUUACGUACAACAUCCUUACAACUAGCAGAUCUUGCACAGUCUCAACAAGAGUCCCUGAUGGUAGGUGAGAUCUUGCGGCUUCACCAGCCUAACUUCUGAGAUGAGGGACGUGAGUGGAGCUUUUCACCUGCUCCAGAUCUGCUCUGAAUGGUCUUUGUUAAGUGUAUGAAUUGAUACUAGAGACUGUUGAGAGACACUUACAUUUGGGGAACUUUUUCUGAGGCUGAGAAACUGGAAGACUCCUUGGCUCUGAAGGAGAAUUUCAGAGCUGGUUGUCCACACUCACCACAGGCCAAGGCUCCAUGGGGGAAGGACAGUGUGGAUACUGGAGGCCCAACUCCCUUGCCUAGCACCGUCUCCUGCCCUUGUGUCUCCCCAGCAUCUGAGACCUUCCUCCAUUGCAACAGCACCCCCCAACUGGUAGCAUAAGCACCUGGAUUUAUUUCCACUGUCCCAGCAGACUAGGAGCAUCCUGAGAGUAAGGGCUGUGGCUCGCUCAUCUCUCUAUGCCCAGCACAGAGUUUAGUGACUCUUCCCUGAAAGAAGGAAUGAAAGAUGAGUUCAUUUGAAUCCUGAACUGCAGGCCACUGGGUGUAAAAGGAAAGCAAAGCUCUCGCCCACCCACCCACACCUGAAAAUGUGGAUCCUUCAAACAAGUUUAGCAAACAGGCUUUGUUCUCAGGUACAGAGACAGCGUGACAUUGUGUGAGUUGCUCUUCCUUUCCCUCUGUCUCUUUAGUGUCUGAGCAAAAUGUUCUGCUUUUCAUUGUCGCUCUUCAAACAGCAUGUUAUUGUCAUGCUUCUGCCUCCUUUUAAUAAAGAGGAAUGAGGAGGGUUUUCUUGUACACGCAAAAUUAACACAAAUCAAAACUGCUGCUGUUCUUUGAUCCGUCCUGGACUCUGAUUCGUGUCAGCCUUUUCAUUUUCCCACUGAGAGUGUACAGCUCAGGAAGGAUUACACGGGGAGGAAAACCGCUUACCACUUCCCAUUUGAUUAACACAAUUUAAUGCAGCAAUAAUGCCAGGGAAGUUCAUUACCAGGGAAAAGCUCUGAUGCAGGCUGCCCACAGUGUCUGGGGACGGGGUCUUUUUAUUUAAAAUGCAAUCAAGCCCCUAUGGUGAGUGGAUCCGUGAAAUCCUUCCUAAGCUGGGGAAGGUGGAAUUGCCAUUUAAUGUAGACAGACAAAAAUCCCUCCUGUUUGUACAGCUUUUGACAAUUUAUUCACGCUGUCUACGAAUAUUUAGUGUGGCUUCUUAUGCUCAAAACCUUGGGAUGAAGAAAACUGAAAGGGACUGUACCCUCAUUGUGCUUACAGCCUAGAAGGGGAAGUGGACAUUUUUCAAAGACGAGCACAUUGCUGACAGGUCAGGAUGUCAUGAAGGGGUCGCGCUGGGAGUGUGGGAGCAGGUGGUGCAGCACCUGUCUGGGAAAUCAGGGAAAACCACCCUGAGGAGGUGACAUACAGGCCAAGCUCAGAAGCAUGAGUAAGAGUUGAUGUGGAACAAACACAAAGGGGAGAGGUAGAGCUCUUGAAGUUAAGAAACUCCUGUGUGAGUUGCGAGGCAGCAGGAGCCUGGCCCGCUAGCAACACUGUCAAGUUGUCCAUGUGCCUGGGGCAGAUGGGGCAGGGGACAGAUGGGGAUGGCACCGGAGAAGAGUUUUGACGUACCCAAGGCCCCAGGCUGCCUCCUUCUUGCUCUGUGGCAGCCUGGUGUGAACAACGUAGAGUCUCCCUCAUGGCCAAGGAAAGAUCAGGAAUGUGUGCUCUCUCAGCCUGGGCAAGAUGGCGAAACCCCAUCUCUAUAAAAAAUAAAAAAAAUUAGCCGGGUGUGGUUGGCGCACGCCUGUGUUCCCAGCUACUCAGGAGGCUGAGGUGAGAGGAUUGCUUGGGCCUGGAAGUUGGAGGCUGCAGUGAGCUGUGUUCAAACCACUGCACUCUUGCCUGGGUGACAGAGUGAGAUCCUGUUUCAAAAAAAAAACAAAGAAAGAAAGAAGGUGAGAGACAGAGAGAGGGAGAGAAAGAAAGGAAGGAAGGAAGGAAGGAAAAGAAAGAAAGAGGAAGAAAGGAAGGAAGAAAGAAAGAAAAAAAGGAAGGAAGGA
rnacentral:lncRNA from 1 species